rnacentral:misc_RNA from 1 species
AUGGAUAAUGGCAAUCAACUGACACUGGAACAAGAAUUUAAAUUAGCUAUAUAUAUAAAAAAAAUAAAUAAGCUAGAUAAUAAUAGUACAAAAAAACACUUAAUGAUAAUAUUAAAACAAAUGAUGAUUAAAGAUAAUAUAAUAAAAUAUUUUAUCAAAAAUUCUAUACCUUAGAAAAUAUUACAAAAUAUUAAUUUGUUAUACUAAUUUGUUUACAAGAUACAAUAUAUUAUAUUGUCGACACUAAUACAUCGGCUUGUCAAAAAAAUGACAGCUGAAACAGCUAAGUCCUUUACAAAAAAAUACAAGGAGAGUUCCAUGCUUGAUGCAUUUUCUAGAGUUGUAGUUAAUUCAGACGCUAAAGCUGCUUACGUAGGUGGCAGUGAUCUACAAGCUCUUAAAACUUUU